UCUGCAUCUUCCCGGAGCGGCCUGCUUUUUCCCGCGGGAAGGUUGGUGAGGAAGAACCCGGAAGCAACAUAGAUUGUGCCUUCUUGUUCACCUUCCUCCAUCUUGUCCUUUCUCCCUCACCCAAAUACUGACCACAGAGGAGGCUAAUUGGUGUUGGGUCUCCCACCAGCUUCAGGGAACCUCCUUGCAAUAAGAGCUGAAGUUGCAGGACAAUUGGCUAAUCUGAAAUCUAAAGGAAAACAGAUGCCUCCAAGAAGACGUGAGCCUUGAGCAAAUGCCUCCCUGGGGCAGAGGCUGGACACCAAAUAAACUGCUCAUCAAGGGAAGUCACUACUAAACUGCAUUCCUGCAGCCUUUCCAGCUAGUUGGAUACUGCUUGUUUCAUCUCCACCGAACACCAUACAGGAGUGAUAAGUUCCAUGUCUUGCAAUUCUGCCACUUCACUGAUUCCAGGGUUAGAGCGAUCUACAAUUUGAUACCAGGAUGAUUAUCCUGUUAUGCCUUCAUUAUUGGGAGUGUUGCUGUAACCUGUUGCUUUGUUUUUUGUUUGUUUGUUUGUGUUUUGGAAAGGAACAAGACUUUCCAGAUUCCAUCUUCUUGGCCAACUCUUCUGUUGAUGUCAUAUCAGUCUUAGCAACUAAAAAGUCAGAGCACACCAGGAGAGCACAGGGAUCUCACGAAGAAAAGAGCAAGGCCUGAGAAUGGAGGACUCCGGGUGUUGAAAUCUUGGUAACUGGGGUGGUGCCCGUGGAGAAGAGGGCAGGGUAAGGUGCCUCCACACAACUGCCAUGGGUUCUAGAAGGUGGCAAGGACCAAAAAGUAUAAAAACAGAUAAGAGGCUGAGAUGGCCCGUUUCAACCGCCAGUGAGAUUUCCUGGCUGUCUGGUGUCUGGGCCAGUGUUGGGAGGACAAAGGCCUGAGCACAGCUGAUGACAACUGCUCCCAUCCCCUGAAUGUCAAUGUUUGAGGCAGUGUGCAUGCAUUUUCUUAUUUAAUUCUCACAAAACCAAAUAAUGUAAACACUGAAGCUACUUGGUAUCAGAAAAAAAAAAAAAAAAAAAGGUGCCACUUA